rnacentral:rRNA from 1 species
AGGAUGAACGCUGGCGGUAUGCUUAACACAUGCAAGUCGAACGGACUUCUUCGGAAGUUAGUGGCGGACGGGUGAGUAACGCGUGAGAAUCUGCCUUCAGGUUCGGGACAACCACUGGAAACGGUGGCUAAUACCGAAUGUGCAGAGAUGUGAAAUAUUAAUAGCCUGAAGAUGAGCUCGCGUCUGAUUAGCUAGUAGGUGUGGUAAAAGCGCACCUAGGCGACGAUCAGUAGCUGGUCUGAGAGGAUGAUCAGCCACACUGGGACUGAGACACGGCCCAGACUCCUACGGGAGGCAGCAGUGGGGAAUUUUCCGCAAUGGGCGAAAGCCUGACGGAGCAAUACCGCGUGAGGGAGGAAGGCUCUUGGGUUGUAAACCUCUUUUCUCAAGGAAGAAAAAAAUGACGGUACUUGAGGAAUAAGCAUCGGCUAACUCCGUGCCAGCAGCCGCGGUAAUACGGAGGAUGCAAGCGUUAUCCGGAAUGAUUGGGCGUAAAGCGUCCGCAGGUGGCUAUGUAAGUCUGCUGUUAAAUAGUCUAGCUCAACUAGAUAAAGGCAGUGGAAACUACAUGGCUAGAGUGCGUUCGGGGCAGAGGGAAUUCCUGGUGUAGCGGUGAAAUGCGUAGAGAUCAGGAAGAACACCGGUGGCGAAAGCGCUCUGCUAGGCCGCAACUGACACUGAGGGACGAAAGCUAGGGGAGCGAAUGGGAUUAGAUACCCCAGUAGUCCUAGCCGUAAACGAUGGAUACUAGGCGUGGCUUGUAUCGACCCGAGCCGUGCCGUAGCUAACGCGUUAAGUAUCCCG